GUCUUCAUCAGUCUGAAGUGUGUUUGUGCUUCGCUUUAGAGAUGACAACAGAUUGAAAAGCCAUUAGAGAGGAGGAGACAGACUUUUCCAGAGACGGCACAGAAACUACAGCUGACUUCCUGUAAUCGCACCCUCCCCCUCCUCUGCACUUCCUGUGCUUGUGGAAUGGUGCUCUGUGAUUGGCUGGAGCAGAAGCUCAGUGUCUCCACAUGUCUCUCUCUUCCUCAGUGUUUUAGUCUCGUGUUACUGUACGAAUAUCAACAUCAAGAUAUAGAUUUGCUGGAAACAUUUACUCACCAUGAUGUUUCUCCAAACUCAUAAAACUAUAAUCUUGUUUCUUCUGUUAAACUGAUUUUAUUUUUCAUUCCCCA